AUAGUACUCCCUCCAUCCCAAAAUUUUUAUCUUAAAUUUGUCUAAAUACGGAUGUAUCAAGUCAUGUUUUAGUAUUAGAUACAUCCGUAUCUAGACUAAUAUAAGACAAGAAUUUUGGGACGAAGGGAGUACUAG
rnacentral:pre_miRNA from 1 species